rnacentral:lncRNA from 1 species
GAAAGUAGAGUUGGGAAUGAGGACUAAGAAUCAGCUAGGCAUCUUGAUAACGUGGAGCCAAUACUGGGUUCCAGUCUCUCCGAAGAUGUGAUGGGUACUCAGAGCUUCCUCUGAAUUAUGAGGUGUUGAGCCUCAUUAUCAUGACUUUUGAAGAAGGUAGAUCACCUUGGACUCCAUACAUAAUUUUAAUAGGUAUCAAUUAUCACAAAAUAUGUUACAAUUUGCUACCAUUUUGUAGUUGUUUAGGAAAUUGUGAGCAAUUGGACAUCCGUCAUGUAAAUUACAGCUGAAUCUUUAUAACUGUCUUGGGAAACAUUGAAAUACCAUUUCUGCCCACCCUCCCAGUUCUUUCACCAAAAAUUCUCUUGGGUUGUUCUUUCAUAGAUAAAUAUUUUAAAAAAUCUUUAUAAAAUGACUCAGUGUAAUUUAAAAAUGAACUGAAAGGGAAAAGACAUUGAUGCUUACUUGUUACAGUGAAAGACCUCAUUAAAAAAAAACAGAACCUUAUGAAAAUAUAUUUAAGCUAUGAGGUUCAUCAUAUUUUCAUUUCUAAAUCAUAGUAGAAUUUAUGGAACAGUUUACAUUAAUCAGAGAGAUUAUGUAUAUAAUAAUCUUAGUCCUAAGAAAUGUUCCAAGUUCUGUACUCAUUGGUCGAGUAGGCAUUGUUUUUUUCAGUGUUGAAAGAUUUUCUUGUGAAGAAAAGGGAAACACAAACGGAACAAGAGAUUGGGAACACUACCAGGAACUCUACUACAGAAAUAAAGAUAUAACCACCGAUGGGUUUGUACAAGUGACGGAAUUCUUGGGAGCGGAUGAGGAAUGAUCUAUAUAAAAGCUAUAUAAAAGUAGGAGUGUGAUUUUGGAAUUAGCUCUAAGUAACUGGUGCCUAGGAGAUCAGGGCCUGGUGUGCAAACAAUCCCAUUAAUACUCUGAUUUGAACCAUGACUUCUGGCUCUUCCACAGGAGACUGCGACCUUCCAGGAGACCAAUAGAAUUAGGCAAAUGAUCAGAUACCAAGUUCAGUUUCUUUGCCAGUGGGUAUCAAUACUUGGUGGUUUUACUAGCAAGGAAUUAAACUGGCUGAGAUAAGAUUCACUACUAAAGUUGUCAGCAAAUGAAGCAACUAUCUCCCAAAAAAGAGUUGACACCAUAUUUAUUGUGUGGUGUUACAAUCAAGAGAAGUAAAUGAGAGCAAAGCAUCAGCUUAUCCUUUGAUAAGCAUUUUUUUUUCAUUUUUUAAAAAGACCAUUUACUUACUUUUUUCCUAAAUAAGAUAUUGACCUUCCAUUAGUAUUACCUAAGAAGAUAGAUGGCCAACUGGGUCCAGGCAGUAUUUCACUUUGGAAACUGUUGUGUACUUUUUAUUUUAAGUAUUCAGGAAAAUGAGUAUGAUUCUUAAAAAGAUGUAUGUUUUACUUCUCACAUAAGCUCUCCCUGUCCAGCAGCCCCUGGGUCUUCUCUGUGCUCUAUAUUCACCUGCAGUAUGAAUUACAGAAUGCUGUGCAUGUCUGUUAGUACCAAUACCAUGUGUAUGUGGUAGGAGUUGUAACCAGUUUCUGGAUCUGUAUGGUACUAUGAAACACUUAUUUUAUAAUUCUGUAAUUGUAUGGCAGUGUUAUGCCAAAAAUGUAUAAAGAACAAUAGUUUCUGUUGCUGACUGUUGUAUUUUAAAAUAUUGUUUCUGAGAUAAUAUAUUUAGAGUUCCUUUAGAGUAAUUAUUUUUAAAAACUAUUGCCAAAUAUACAUCCUGUAAAAUGAAUAAAAGCCACUUCAUCUUGGUUAACAUUUUAGCAUUAUGUUACAGUACAUUAUAUUGAUUUUUGCAUGAUUAAAAUAUUUUUUGAAGAGCUGGAA